rnacentral:rRNA from 1 species
GAUGAACGCUGGCGGCGUGCCUAAUACAUGCAAGUCGAGCGAAUGGAUUAAGAGCUUGCUCUUAUGAAGUUAGCGGCGGACGGGUGAGUAACACGUGGGUAACCUGCCCAUAAGACUGGGAUAACUCCGGGAAACCGGGGCUAAUACCGGAUAACAUUUUGAACCGCAUGGUUCGAAAUUGAACGGCGGCUUGGGCUGUCACUUAUGGAUGGACCCGCGUCGCAUUAGCUAGUUUGUGAGGUAACGGCUCACCAAGGCAACGAUGCGUAGCCGACCUGGGAGGGGGAUCGGCCACACUGGGACUGAGACACGGCCCAGACUCCUACGGGAGGCAGCAGUAGGGAAUCUUCCGCAAUGGACGAAAGUCUGACGGAGCAACGCCGCGUGAGUGAUGAAGGCUUUCGGGUUGUAAAACUCUGUUGUUAGGGAAGAACAAGUGCUAGUUGAAUAAGCUGGCACCUUGACGGUACCUAACCAGAAAGCCACGGCUAACUACGUGCCAGCAGCCGCAGUAA